GCCACUGCCAUGCCACCCUGAACGUGCCCGAUGUGGUCUGAUAUCAAAAGCUAAGCACGGUCCGGCCUGGUUAGUACUUGGAUGGGAGACCACCUGGGAAUACCGGGUCCUGUAGGCU
ensembl:rRNA 5S_rRNA 5S ribosomal RNA